GGGUGUUUGGUCUAGUGGUAUGAUUCUUGCUUUGGGUGCAAGAGCUCGUUAGUUCGAUUUUCGCAACACCCU
rfam:Ipomoea nil DNA, scaffold: scaffold3056, cultivar: Tokyo-kokei standard.